AUGACAAGUGGAAGGGUGAGAAGAGCAGAAGGUGUUGCAGCUGAAUCUGAGCAAGGAGCUGCACCAAGACCCAGGAAGAAGCAGGCAAGAGGAGGGUCAAUUGCUGCAAGGGGAGGGAGAACACCUGCUGCAAGAGGAGGGACAAAUGGUGCAAGGGGAGGGCGAACACCUGCUGCAAGAGGAGGGGCAAAUGUUACAAGGGGAGGAAGAACACCUGCUGCAAGGGGAGGGAGAACAACUGCUUCAAGGGGUGCAAGAGGAGGGGAAAAUGCUGGAAGGGGAGGGAGAACACCUGAUGCAACAGGAGAUAGCACAAGUGCUCCAAGAGGAGCUAGAGCUACUGCCCCUGGCUCCUACAACCUUCUCUUUGGAAAUGAUGGAGCAAGUGCACACCAAGCCCCACACUUCAUGCAAGCAGAAGAGGAGGUUCUUGUUAGCCAGAAUGCACCAAAUGGUCUCUAUGAUGAAGGAUGGCCUGAUGACCUUCAUGAUUUUCUCUCACUGUUAUAG
rnacentral:rRNA from 1 species